rnacentral:rRNA from 1 species
AAAUUGAAGAGUUUGAUCAUGGCUCAGAUUGAACGCUGGCGGCAGGCCUAACACAUGCAAGUCGAACGGUAACAGGAAGCAGCUUGCUGCUUCGCUGACGAGUGGCGGACGGGUGAGUAAUGUCUGGGAAACUGCCUGAUGGAGGGGGAUAACUACUGGAAACGGUGGCUAAUACCGCAUAACGUCGCAAGACCAAAGAGGGGGACCUUUGGGCCUCUUGCCAUCAGAUGUGCCCAGAUGGGAU